rnacentral:rRNA from 1 species
UACGUAGGGGGCAAGCGUUGUCCGGAAUUAUUGGGCGUAAAGAGCGCGUAGGCGGUCCGAUAAGUCGGCUGUGAAAGUCAAGGGCUCAACCCUUGAAAGCCGGCCGAUACUGUCGGACUAGAGUCCGGAAGAGGAGAGUGGAAUUCCCGGUGUAGCGGUGAAAUGCGCAGAUAUCGGGAAGAACACCUAUGGCGAAGGCAGCUCUCUGGGACGGUACUGACGCUGAGACGCGAAAGCGUGGGGAGCGAACAGG